GCUGCUCGCAAGGCAUUUGAUGAGGGACCAUGGCCCAAAAUGAGUGCUUAUGAAAGGUCACGGAUAAUGCUAAAAUUUGCUGAUUUGGUGGAGAAACACAAUGAUGAGAUUGCAGCUUUAGAAACAUGGGAUAAUGGCAAGCCAUAUUUGCAGGCUGCCCAAGCUGAAGUACCUUCUUUUGUGCGAUUAUUUCGGUAUUAUGCUGGAUGGGCGGAUAAAAUCCAUGGUCUAACUGUUCCAGCUGAUGGGCCACACCAUGUACAAAUUUUACAUGAACCAAUUGGGGUUGCUGGUCAAAUAAUUCCAUGGAACUUUCCCCUUCUGAUGAUGGCCUGGAAAGUUGGGCCUGCUUUAGCGUGCGGUAACACUAUUGUCCUGAAGACUGCAGAGCAAACUCCACUGACUGCUCUUUAUGUUGCAA
rnacentral:misc_RNA from 1 species